CACUUCUGGAACUGAGACUGAUGACAGUUAUGACUGGAAUCAGACCAGAGAACUUCAGUCAUGUUUUAACCAUCAAAAAAAUACCAAUAUUAUUAGUUCAGGCAAAACUGAUGAGAAAGUUUAAAGGCUCCAAAUAUGGAAAAGCGUCUGGUCACAUGAUCAACUGUCAGGGUUAAACCAGGUAAAAGAGACAGCUUAAAUUAUUGCAGAGAAUGAACAUGCAGGAAACACUGAAUUUCUUUCCUGAUCAGGAGAGAGAGCCGGCGGGCAUGACCCUCGUCACUGCUCGUCAGUCAGCUCUGAAGGCCCCGCCCACUCACCUCCUGAAUUUAUUGAAGCAAAAUUGCAUACAGACAUAUUGCAGAAGACAAUAUACAAAACACAGCAGUGUCUCCCAGUCUAUUGUCACUGUUGUGGUUUGCACCUGGUCUGCUGGUUUGUCUGUGUUUCCAGGUGAAGCUGAGGUGGAGCUGCUGGGUGAAGUGGCCACGGGUGUGUCAGCUGUGGAUUACAUCAGGGCUCUGCUCCUACCUGUCAUGUUACUCAUGGGCCCCACCCCAUCUGUCAAGUCAGCGCAUGGAGUGACAGAGCGACAUCUCACAGCUGACUUUCAUUCUGCUGAGUGGAGCUUCGCAGUUGAAUCUGAUGGCAGCUCAUCACUGUUCUGCAUUUAACCUUGGUGCUUCGUCCGGUUUGGGGCCAGAUUCUUUCCUCACCUACCUCACCAUCUCCUGAAGAACCUCCGCGUUCCUCCUGGUCGGAACCAGGUUGCCACGGGUGCCAGCUGUGCCAUACAAUUGCUCUCAGCCGCUGCUUCCAGGCGCAGUUUAUGACUCGUCGUGUUUUUCCUCCCGUGGUAUUCCAGGCUUAGAGAGCACUCGAGUGGAGCUUCCAGUUCAUCCAGCCCCAGUAGCUCCACAGGCUCACUUCACCUGGUCCCUGUCCCGUCAGUACCAGGUCCCAGUCCUGUCUGUCCCUGGUUAUGGUCCCGUAGUCCUCCUGGUCCCAGCCUUAUCAGUUCCUGGUUUCCGGCUGGUUUCAAUCCAGUCAGUUCCUGGUUCCAGUCCAGUAGCCCAGUCUGUCUUGUCUACUGCGCAGUU